AUCGAAAUAAAUAGCAAUUUACUCCCUCGUUCCCAUCUUUUUCUAAAAAGUGCUUAAGUCAGCUGUUAUCUGAAAAUGGAAGAAAUUACUUAGUAAAUACAGAACUUUCCAGCUGAUAUACGCAUAAUUUCUCUUAACUUCGACACUUUGUUGUCAAGCCACUGACCACGUAGACACAGCCAGUUACAGUGACGACUCCACAGCAGCUACAUUGAGACUUACCAACUUUGUCCAACAGCAUUAUAGCAACCUCUAUCUUCGUCACCACCAUGAUGUCCUUAGCAUUGUCAACAUCAUCUCUCUAUGUACACAGCUCAGCAAGCAACUCGCCCAGGUUCCAACACUUCUCUAUUCAUGAAUUACUUCACCAUGGAUCAACAAUGAAUAUACAACCAGCAAGAACUCCUGUACCAAGUGACCCAGGUAGCAGCAUCACAGCCACAACUUCAUGUACGACAUGUACCGGCAACUGGCUCAGCAUCAUGACCGCAACUUCUUGAUACAGUAUUUCAACUACUGUGUAUAAAUGACUAUGAACUGGUAUUAUUUAUCUUACUUGUGUCUAUGAACAUUUUUCUCACUUCUCUUUAUAAACUCUUUCACUGCCUACUUAUCAAUAUCCUUAAACAUACACAACAAACACACACAUCCAUGCCUAUACACACACGCGCAUAAACUUUCUUCUCAUGACAGCCUGUCAAUUUAUUUCUGUAUCCAUGACACCACACAGACACAUGUUAUUAUAUCAAUAAAUCUUCUCUUAAUCAUU